AUUCCGGUUGAUCCUGCCGGAGGGUACUGCUAUUCGGAUUCGACUAAAACAUGCGAGCCGAGAGUCUUAGGGACUCGGCGUACUGCUCAGUAAUAUGUAGCUAACUUGCCCUAGGCUCAGGGAUAAAGUCGGGAAACUGACUCUAAUACCUGAUAGGUAUCCUGGUCUGGAAUGAUAGGAUACCCAAAGUUCAGGCGGCCUAGGAUAGGACUACAUCUUAUCAGCCUGUUGGGGGUGUAACGGACCCCCAAAGCUAUAACGGGUACGGGCCAUGAGAGUGGAAGCCCGGAGAUGGAUUCUGAGACAUGAAUCCAGGUCCUACGGGACGCAGCAGUUGCGAAACCUUUACAAUGUGUUAGCGCACGAUAAGGGAAUCCGAAGUGCUGCAGUUAAACUGCAGCUUUUGUCAAGUCCAAACAGCUUGGCGAAUAAGGGGUGGGUAAGACAGGUGCCAGCCGCCGCGGUAAUACCUGCGCCCCGAGUGGUGCCCAGUAUUAUUUGGCCUAAAGCGUCCGUAGCUGGUCUUGUAAGUCCCUAGUGAAAUUCACUGGUUAACUGGUGAGCGUGUUGGGGAUACUGCGAGACUUGGGACUGGGAGAGGGUAGAGGUACUCCUGGGGAAGGGGUAAAAUCCUAUAAUCCGAGGGGGACCACCUGUGGCGAAGGCGUCUACCUAGAACAGGUCCGACAGUGAGGGACGAAAGCUAGGGGAGCGAUCGGGAUUAGAUACCCCGGUAGUCCUAGCCGUAAACUAUGCCCACUUGGUGUUAAAAACCUUAAGAGGGUUUUUAGUGCCGUAGCGGAGGUGUUAAGUGGGCCGCCUGGGGACUACGACCGCAAGGUUAAAACUUAAGGGAAUUGGCGGGGGACCACACAAGGAGUGAAGACUGCGGUUCAAUCGGAUCCAACGCCGUGAAUCUCACGGGGAUCGACAGCAGAAUGAAGGUCAGUUUGAAGGGCUUACCUAACAAGCUGAGAAGUGUUGCAUGGCCAUCGUCAGCUCGUACCGUGAGGCGUGCGCUUAAGUGCGUUAACGAGCGAGACCCGCAUCUUAUGUUGCUAAGCCGGUGAGGCAGCACUCAUAAGAGACUGCUGGUGAUGAAUCAGAGGAGGGAGCGGGCGACGGUAGACAUCAAGACAGCUGGUCAGUAAAAAUAAAUUCAAGUAGGUCAGUAAAUUUAGUAUGCCCAAGAUUCAAUUUCGAAAUAAAGAUUUGGAGCUUUUGUUUUUUGACCUUAAAGAGAAAACUAGUGACUUUGCAAAUAUUGAACCUGAAGUGAUACAACAAGAUCCGAAAAAAUUACUAAUAAUUAGACUUGCAUUGGGAAUGUCUCAAAAUGAAUUCGAAAGGAUUGUGAGCAAAGGGAACAAAAACAUCUCAAAAUACGAGACAGGAAAAAUAAAAAGGAUGAACUACGAGACAGCGAAACGCAUGUUAGAUGGUUUGAAUUCGAAAAUCCCACAGUUUGACUUAGAUAGAAUUUUGAGCAAUUUCCAAAUUUCUAAAGACGAGUCUAAUGGUUGGUUCAAAGUCCAUACAAAAACAGAAAAGGCGCUAAAAGCACGAAGAAAAGGCGUCAUAAGAAGCCUAAGAAGUCGCCUUACAAGACAAGAAAGUAGGGUAGCUAAGGAUUUAAAAAGAGUGAAGUUGGACUUUGAGAGUAAUUUUCCAGUGACAGAAUCUACUAUAGUGGACUUUUACAUCGAAACAAAAGAUUUGGUUAUAGAAUGUAAAGAGGUAAAGUCCAAAAGCAGGAGGGAAUUCAAAGAACAAGUCCAAAAAUUGGCGUAUCAAGGCUACAAGACAAAAUUCAAAAAGCCAAAAAUGAAGCUGUGGGCCUUGAUAGAAAGUAAACACGAAAUUUCCGAAAUUGAGUUGGGAGAACUAAAAGGGCCUUUUGAUGAAGUCUUUACAAAUAGUAAAGAUUUGAUUAAGAUGCUAUCUUGAUGGCCGAUGUCGGUAUGGCCUGAAUUUCCCCGGCUACACGCGGUCUGCAAUGCGCAAGCCAAUGGGCUGCAACACCGAAAGGUGAAGCUAAUCUCUUAAACUUGCGCUCAGUUCGGAUUGAGGUUUGUAACUCAGCCUCAUGAAGCUGGAAUUCCUAGUAGACAAACGUCAUCAUCGUUCGUCGAAUACGUCCCUGGUCCUUGCACACACCGCCCGUCAAGCCAUCCGAGUGGGGUUCAAAUGAGCCGUUCUCCUCGUGUGAAUGUCGAAUUUGGGUCCUGCAAGGGGGGCUAAGUCGCAACUUCAAGAAGUCGCAAAACUUAGCUCGU
rfam:Candidatus Micrarchaeota archaeon RBG_16_49_10 RBG_16_scaffold_553, whole genome shotgun sequence.